rnacentral:rRNA from 1 species
UACGUAGGGGGCUAGCGUUGUCCGGAAUCAUUGGGCGUAAAGAGCGUGUAGGCGGCCCGGUAAGUCCGCUGUGAAAGUCCAGGGCUCAACCCUGGGAUGCCGGUGGAUACUGUCGGGCUCGAGUCCGGAAGAGGCGAGUGGAAUUCCUGGUGUAGCGGUGAAAUGCGCAGAUAUCAGGAGGAACACCAAUGGCGAAGGCAGCUCGCUGGGACGUGACUGACGCUGAGACGCGAAAGCCAGGGGAGCAAACGGG